rnacentral:misc_RNA from 1 species
AACCAAACUCUAUUUWCACGACGUYUCUUCUGAGUGGCACAAGCAAAUAAUUAAAACUUUUAACAACGGAUCUCUUGGUUCUGGCAUCGAUGAAGAACGCAGCGAAAUGCGAUAAGUAAUGUGAAUUGCAGAAUUCAGUGAAUCAUCGAAUCUUUGAACGCACAUUGCGCUCGCCAGCAUUCUGGCGAGCAUGCCUGUUCGAGCGUCAUUUCAACCCUCAAGCUCCGCUUGGUUUUGGGGCCCCACGGCCGACGUGGGCCCUUAAAGGUAGUGGCGGACCCUCCCGGAGCCUCCUUUGCGUAGUAACUAWCGUUUUCGCCCUGGGAUUCCGGAGGG